rnacentral:rRNA from 1 species
UACGGAGGGUGCAAGCGUUGUUCGGAAUCAUUGGGCGUAAAGCGCGUGUAGGCGGCUUGGCAAGUCGGGUGUGAAAUCCCGGGGCUCAACCCCGGAACUGCAUUCGAAACUGCCUCGCUAGAGUCCCGGAGAGGAAGGCGGAAUUCCCGGUGUAGAGGUGAAAUUCGUAGAUAUCGGGAGGAACACCAGCGGCGAAGGCGGCCUUCUGGACGGUGACUGACGCUGAGACGCGAAAGCGUGGGGAGCAAACAGG